GAAGAAUCUCAAGCUUUGGGUCUGGACUUCUGGUCUGGCUCCUCCACUUAUCUGGUGUGUGGCUUAAGCUUCAUUUCCUUCAUGCUGAAUCACCAGGGGGUCCCACAUGGCUGUCCCAACUCCAUCAAGCUGGAGUCCGAGAGGUGGCAGGCAGGCGGGCAGGGGCUUAGGAACACGCGAGGCAGCCGCACUCUAAGUGUCUCUCCACCUCUUCUACAAACGAGGAGCCGUCCGUGCACUGGAAGACGUAUUUCCGCCGCUUGCUGCGGCCGGGCUGGCACAGGCAGUAGGGCUCCCCUUGGUCUGAGAUGUGGCACUGCCCAUGGUGACACUUGAAGGCUGAG
rnacentral:lncRNA from 1 species